AGUGAACGCUGGCGGUAGGCCUAACACAUGCAAGUCGAACGGCAGCACAGUAAGAGCUUGCUCUUACGGGUGGCGAGUGGCGGACGGGUGAGGAAUACAUCGGAAUCUACUUUUUCGUGGGGGAUAACGUAGGGAAACUUACGCUAAUACCGCAUACGACCUACGGGUGAAAGCAGGGGAUCUUCGGACCUUGCGCGAUUGAAUGAGCCGAUGUCGGAUUAGCUAGUUGGUGGGGUAAAGGCCCACCAAGGCGACGAUCCGUAGCUGGUCUGAGAGGAUGAUCAGCCACACUGGAACUGAGACACGGUCCAGACUCCUACGGGAGGCAGCAGUGGGGAAUAUUGGACAAUGGGCGCAAGCCUGACCCAGCCAUACCGCGUGGGUGAAGAAGGCCUUCGGGUUGUAAAACCCUUUUGUUGGGAAAGAAAAGCAGCAGGUUAAUACCCCGCUGUUCUGACGGUACCCAAAGAAUAAGCACCGGCUAACUUCGUG
rnacentral:rRNA from 1 species